rnacentral:lncRNA from 1 species
GCUUUAAGCUUUCUUUGUAGAUUGUGUAAAAUGUUUAAUUUUUUUAUUGUUGAGGAAUUUUCUUCUCUUUAAGUAAAAAAAAAAAUCUUUUCUUUUGUCAGGAAAUGUCUGGGAUGGCAGAGAAUCUGGUUGUGCCUUGGAGUGAAGCCAGGAGGCCUCCUUCUGUUCAUGGACUGCUUAAGAAUAGUCAACUCACCCUUGUGCCUAGUCAGUAAAUGAAUCCACAUGGGAACUUGAAAAUCAUCUUGAUGUAUUAUUUUUACAUAAAUUUUUGUUUUGUAAAAUUUUUUUUUUAUGAAAUAGUAUGCUUUUAAUUUAGAAGGCCUGUUUUAAAAAGAAAAAGAAAGAAAAUCAAUCUUAUUUUGUGGUCUCCUAAUAACAAAAAAGAAUGAUUUGUACAGUCAUUAAUAAAGGCUGCCUGUUGAAAUCUCUUCUACUUUAUAGAAACACAGAAAAACAUAGUCUUGUUAUUUCAGCACAGCUCUAGAUUUUGCACACUGGAGAACCAUGCAUGCUGCUGCUGCUCACUGCAAGAAGUUGAGAUUCUAAACAUAUAGAUUUGAAAAUGAUUUAUCUGUCUCUGUUGUGUGCCCAUAAAUAUGAAAGUGUUAGACCAAAAGUAUUCUGCCACAUAAAAGGUUAAUUAUGAAAGCUUCUGUGGGAAACAGAAUGCUAAGGACAGAACAGAAGCCUGCUUUUCAAGCCUCUCUCUGAUUUGUUAUGGAACAUAAAGGUCAUGAUCCCUGUGGAU